rnacentral:rRNA from 1 species
CACCCUACCUGAACAUCCGCCCGAGAACUACGAGCACAAACGCUUAAAACUCUAAGGACUUGGCGGUGCCCCAAACCCACCUAGAGGAGCCUGUUCUGUAAUCGAUGAUCCACGAUAUUACCUGACCAUUUCUUGCCAAAAACAGCCUAUAUACCGCCGUCGCCAGCUCACCUUCCCUGACAGCCCAACAGUGAGCGCAAUAGCCCCAUCACGCUAAUAAGACAGGUCAAGGUAUAGCCUAUGGAAUGGAAGCAAUGGGCUACAUUUUCUAAGUUAGAACACAACGGCAAAGGGAUAUGAAACUGUCCCUGGAAGGAGGAUUUAGCAGUAAAGUGGGACAAUCGAGCCCUCUUUAAGCCGGCUCUGGAGCACGUACAUACCGCCCGUCACCCUCCUCACAAGCGACCCAACACACCCCAUAACUAAUAAGCCAUCCAGCCCAAGAGGAGGUAAGUCGUAACAAGGUAAGUGUACCGGAAGGUGCACUUAGACUACCAAGACGUAGCUUUAACAAAAGCAUUCAGCC